GCGUCCUUUUUUUCGGGAAAGUACACGCAACCACCUAACCUAAAAAUAAAAGGUUCCUUUGCCGUGGUAUACGACCGACACGGCGACACUUCUUCAUUUCAUGGUUCUCUCUGCCUAGCACCGGUAGUGCCCAUCUCGAACUGUUGUUAAUCGUCUUAGGUUUUAAUUCUGCCAUUCGGUUCCGACCAGGGUAGGUAGUCGUCGUACAAUCGAUUGUACUACGAUGAUUGCCAUGGUCGGGUUACCGAAUAACGAAUAUUUGUUCACAAUACGCGGAAUGCCAGAAUCGAACGUCAAAAGCAAUGUUCACACGUGUAUAAAUCAAUACGGGUCGAAUAGAAUUCAAGAUGGCCGACAAACUUCAGGCUGCGAUGCACUCACACCCAACAUCUUUACUAUAUCUACCUCCGACUACGAUGUGGUCACCGUAAUUUAAUUCUCCACACAUCCGUUUUCAUGCGCAUAUUGCAGAAAAUGUAAUUGUCCUGUUCCUGUAGCAGUUCUACCCCGAGGACAACCGUUUUUAUGUGCGUACACCAGGCAGUCUAAGUGUCAAUUAGCCACAGCGUUGGCACGUUUGUUUUCAUCCGAUGGUCAAACUACGUGGCUAUGGGAUAAAAGUUGGUGUGCCAACGCUGCGGCACUUAGAUUGCUUGAUGUGCGCAUGUAAAAACGUCUGACCUCGUCAUAAGCUUACAUCAGAGAUACGAGUUCAGAACAAUUAGAUGAUCCGCAGUGUGUACAUGAAAACAGAUGCGUAUUGAGAUCAAAUUAUCUGACUAAACAAAUCACGAUGAAUAAAAACGUUGUUUGCUGUAACGACAAAAUAUAUUAGUAAUUCGAUAUUAAUUAUUAUUAUGUAUUUUUAAAUGUCGUCUUGAACUAUUGAGCUAUAGAGUAUAGACAGUAUUUACAAUAUAAUUAACAGAUUAUAAUAUAAUAUAUAUUUAUUUUUGUAAAGUUAAAGUUUACUUGUGGAUAUUUUUUUUAAUAUUCAUAACAUUUUAACAGCUUAUCAAUAAAUGUAUAUUGUACUCGAUAAUAA